rnacentral:rRNA from 1 species
GAUGAACGCUGGCGGCGUGCCUAAUACAUGCAAGUCGAACGCUGAAGGAGGAGCUUGCUCUUCUGGAUGAGUUGCGAACGGGUGAGUAACGCGUAGGUAACCUGCCUGGUAGCGGGGGAUAACUAUUGGAAACGAUAGCUAAUACCGCAUGACAACAGUUAUUGCAUGAUAACUGUUUAAAAGUGGCAACUGCUCCACUACCAGAUGGACCUGCGUUGUAUUAGCUAGUUGGUGAGGUAACGGCUCACCAAGGCGACGAUACAUAGCCGACCUGAGAGGGUGAUCGGUCACACUGGGACUGAGACACGGCCCAGACUCCUACGGGAGGCAGCAGUAGGGAAUCUUCGGCAAUGGACGGAAGUCUGACCGAGCAACGCCGCGUGAGUGAAGAAGGUUUUCGGAUCGUAAAGCUCUGUUGUAAGAGAAGAACGAGUGUGAGAGUGGAAAGUUCACACUGUGACGGUAUCUUACCAGAAAGGGACGGCUAACUACGUG